rnacentral:rRNA from 1 species
UACGUAGGCAGCGAGCGUUGUUCGGAGUUACUGGGCGUAAAGGGUGUGUAGGCGGUUACUUAAGUUUGGUGUGAAAUCUCCCGGCUCAACUGGGAGGGUGCGCCGAAUACUGAGUGACUAGAGUGCGGGAGAGGAGAGUGGAAUUCCUGGUGUAGCGGUGAAAUGCGUAGAUAUCAGGAGGAACACCGGUGGUGUAGACGGCUCUCUGGACCGUAACUGACGCUGAGACACGAAAGCGUGGGUAGCAAACAGG